GUUUUUGAUUGCACUGGUUGAGGAGUGCAUUGAAUUCAAUUCCAGAGAAUUGAAAGUUAUUUCUUUCGGAAAUGAAAAAGUUAUCCUUGUUAUUAAAACUCGAACAGGCCUUACAUCUUGGUAGCAAGUGACUGUGAUUUGUGUCUCAGUUCUAUUUCUUUCUCUUUCUUUAGAUUUCUUGUGUGUGGGUAUCGGCAAUGAGUUCUUAGGAACUGUGGUAAUUGAAAGUGAGACACUAUUUGUGCUCUGAGAUGCACUAUCUUAUGAUUUGCUUUGUUAAAUGAGUGAAUCUACUGUCUAAAAAGAGAAAAAUUCAAAGAAGAGGUAGAAGAAGAAAGAAACAGGGAAAUCCAUGGUAAACCAAGAAAUCCCCGAAGAUGCCAGCGAAUACUGUCCAGGUCCGCUAUCAGAAUCAGCUUUUCUAGCUGAUUCUUGCGCUGGAUGCCCUAAUCAGGAAAUUUGUGCUAGUGCUCCUGAAGGACCUGACCUGAGAUGAUGGCAGCAUUAUGUGCAGAAGAAUGGGUAGUUACAACUCAGUUCCAGAAAGUCUGUUUCGGUCAGAUUAUAAGCCUGUUAAUAACCUGCUACAGCUUUUUUUAACAAGAGGGUACCUUGGUUUGCAUCCUCAAGAAACUUACUCUCUGACUUUGUACAUAGCUGCAACAAGCUUGCCAAGAAAGGAGUGAAGUUUAGUUAGAGGAGAAGUGAAUCUGUACAUGAAUAGGCCUUCUUGCUGAAUCUAGAUUGGCCUUGUCAGAUAUACUACAAAGUUUGCUAAGCUUCUGCUGGAUGUAAUUUUUGUUUUGCCCAAGCUUUAAAGGCAGUUUCUAGUUAGGCGG